GCACGAAGCUGGAAUCGCUAGUAAUCGCGGAUCAGCACGCCGCGGUGAAUACGUUCCCGGGCCUUGUACACACCGCCCGUCACACCAUGGAAGUCUGCAAUGCCCGAAGCCGGUGGCCUAACCACUUAUGUGGAAGGAGCCGUCUAAGGCAGGGCAGAUGACUGGGGUGAAGUCGUAACAAGGUACC
rnacentral:rRNA from 1 species